UCUGACGUGCUGCGUAUGCACAGGUGGCUGCGCGGUGCCCAUCAUUGCGCCGCCCGUUAGUGCGCCGCCCGUGGCGGGGUCUGUGUUCGGGGACGGGUGUGUUUGUGGCUGCAGUUGCCGCAGUUCGUCCCGGCCCUCCAGACUUCCCCAGCCCCACUCUCGGCCUCGUGGUCCUGGCACGCCCGCUGCUUCUGCCCCGGAUGCUUCCUCUGGGCUCCGCCCCCAGCACGUCCACGUCACGCCUGCUGCCUUAGUCCUGCAGAAAUCCUGCGCUUUGGAUUUGUGCCACCUUCUGUAAGUUGAAAGCUUCUGGACCAAGUGCGGCAGUGAGAUGGAGUCAGAAGAGGAGGUAUUUCCAUCAGAGAGUCAGCAAAAGUGGUUGACCAAGCCCAAAGGAGGGUGCUGAGGGGAGUUGAUGACCUGGAAUUUUUCAUAAGGGAUGAGGCCAUAGAUAAACCCACGUAUGCCACAAAGUGGCCAAUAAGACAUGGAAUAAUUGAAGACUGAGAUCUAAUGGAGAGGUUCAUGGAACAAGUUAUUUUUAAUUUUCCCUGAGCUGAACCUGAGGGCCAUCACUUUUUGAUGAAACCUUCCUAGCAGAUUUGCCCUGUCUGUCCGUGCCCAGUGUGGGCCCUAGAGGGGAACAAAAUUACUUUGGUACAUUUUGAUGAGUCAAGAUUCUCUCCUGUUGCUGGUGAGGGGACCACAUCUCAUCACCUGGCCCCAAGAAACAGAACCUCCUCUGAAUACACCAGAAAAUAAAGAAUAUCUUGCAGAAAUUAUGUUCAAAUUAUUUAAUGUACCAGGACUCUACAUUGCAUUUCAGGUAAGGACAAGUGACUUUCAUGAUUCCCAAGUGACCUUAGUUGUCUAAUGUGGAAGAAAUGGUGAUUCUAGAGGCCUCUGUAAGAUUGUGUGGUGUGGUUUCCUUUCCCAUGCACUCAAGUGCACAGGAACUCAUCACAUUCAGGUCUGAGCUCAAACACUGUACAGAGCAAUUUCUGUGAUUUAUGUUUUUACUGCUGGUGUAGAGUUUGUCCAGCUUUUGUCUGUUUACAUUCAUUAGAAUCUAAGGUAUCCUCAGGAAGACAAGAUCAAUAUGUAGGUGUGGUUCUUUGGCUUCUUUUACUUCUGAUCAUAAAAAAGAAAAUAUACUAUAGAAUCUGUUAAAACAAAACAAAAUGAAACAAAAUAAAUGUCUUUCAAGGGUUUCCCUUUGUGGAUCUGAGCUCCUGUGGUUCCAUGAGUUUGCAGAACUUCCCCUGAAGCUGCUUGUUCUUCGUGGGGGGGUUUGUUGUUUUUAGGUGUAAUGUAUCUGCCUCUAUAUAAGGGAAUUGACUGAAAUUUGGGGGAAUAAAUGAUAAAAUUGUUUUCCAAAAUGCUUCCUGCGUAUUCUAUUCCCUUACUUGUAGGAAAAAAGAGUAGGAGUUGCAUAGAUGUUUAACUUGGAAGAUUCCACAUGCUGUGUCCUCUGUGUGGUGAUUCUCAGUAGACAGUGAUGUCUUAAAGGCUCUGAAAAUGCCUACAUUAGGAAACUCUGUUUAUUCCACCACUUCCAAAUUUAACCAGAAAUAUUCCCCCACCCCUAAGCUGUUUCUGUUCCAUGGAGUAGGAGACACUUCAGGAAACACUGGCCCAGUGGUUCUCAAAGUGAUCUAUGCAGCAAGGUCUCCUCAAAAGUGUUUUUUUCAAAAUACACAUUCUCAGAAUUUAUAUCAGACCACGGGUUUCCAGCCUCAAAAUUUUGGAUCGGGCAGUCCUCAGGGGAGGGGAGGUUACUGAGCUGUGUGUUGGAUGUCUAGCAGCAUCUCUGGUCUUGACCCACCAGGGGAAGCACCACCACCAGCCUCCCCUCCCUCAAGUGUGACAGCGAGAAAUGGCACCAGAUAUUGCCAGGUGCUCCUUGGGGGCAAAAUUGCCCCUGGUUGAGAACCACUAUCCUGGUUCUGCCAGAUGAGAAUUUCUGGGUGCCAGGCCCAGUAUUUUGUCUUUCUAAAGUCCCCACAAGUAGUCUUAUUGCAAUCCAUCUGUGGACCCACACUGGGAACCAGUGGAUUACAAAUUAAAACCUCCUGAUUCCACAAUAAGAUUCCUUUCUCUCUGGCUUUUCUUUGCAAAGCUUUGAUUUAUCUUACUGAGAAGUUGACUCCUCCAGAUUAAGUGCACAGAAUUUACAUGUUAGUUGUCCACUUUGGAAUUUGGAUUUGGGAGGAAGAUGGAAGGUAGGGAAAGGGAAAUUUCAUUCAGUCUCAGUAAGAAAGAAAGGGCUUAUUGCUCCAACCUGAAGAUAGGCUUGUGGAACACUUGAGAAAGUCCCCAUGCUGAUGGUCUCUGUGGUAUUUGUGAAGGCAGUGAUGGCCUUAGCUGUGUAGUGGACAUCAUGACAAGUUGGUGAACACACAUUAACAGGAAUCAUCAUUGACAGCAGGGAUGGGGUCACUCACACUAUCCCAAUGGUCAGCAGGGCACCGAGUUCUGCUCUGUCUGUGGGCCUAACCUGAUUUGAGGUGAAGGAAGCAGUGAAAGAAAAAACCCUUCUGUUAAUUAAAGCACCACUUUUGAAGACAUACCUGUACUUAGCAAAGGUAACAAGAGCCUUUAAACACAGUUGUGUGAGAAAGUGGAAGAUGCCUAGUGUCUGUGGCACUGGCAGUUGGAAAUUUGCAGUAGCAGAUUUGUGCAGUCUGGUGUCAGCAGUCGUCUGAUGUCCCUGGGCUCUGCUUGGCCCCGGUGUCACUUUGACAGGAGGGUUUUCCUGGCUUUCAUUCUGAACUGUAAUCUGGGUAUCAGUGGGUGCGGCACAUGAACAUUUGGAGGAUGAUUUUGUGUUCUGUGACAAUCCUCUGGAGAGGAUUUGUUUCUUGCUUUUUAAAAAUUUUUUAAGAGCCAAGAAGGAGAGAUUGUUCACCUUGACUUGUAGGAUGCUCUGCAAUGUCACUUUUUGGUUUUAAUUUUCAAAAUAUAACAGAAGUGUUUUCUAAUUCAGGCUUCAAGAGACUAUAUAUAUAUAUAUAUAUAUAUAUAUAUAUAUAUAUAUAUAUAUACAUUUGGUACAAUGGACUAGUUAAAUGAAUUAUUUAAAGUUUUUUUUUUAAUAAAUUGAAGCUAUCUGGAGGGGGUUACAUUGGGAAUUCAGACAUGCCUUUCCUUCUCCACGUCCCUUCUUGGAGGCAACCCCUGAUACUAAUGUUUGUUAUUUUGUGUAUUACAAGUAUCUUUUGUGCAAAUAUAGGUUUGUGUGUUUAUGUGCUAAGCUCCAUUUAAAAAUGCAAUAAAUGAAUCACUAUGCUAUACACUGGAAACUAACAGAAUUUUGUAAAUCAACUAAGACAAAUUUAAAAAAUGCAAACUAGUUUUUUUUAAAAAACAAUUCAUUUAUUUCAUUUAAAAAUAGUCACUGUUUUAUUUCAAGACAUUGCAGAGAUGAUGUACUAAUAUGCUGGUGCUUUAAUACCUCAAAGUUCAGAAAUCACUGCAGGGGGAGGCUGAUGUGUCUACAGUCAGGAGGAAAAAGCCAAAUCUUUCCCCUCUGUCAUUGCACCCUGCCAGUGUCCCCUUUGCCCGGGGGUGAGGAGAGGCAGGAGUCCUGCAGAGCAUGCUCUGUGCUCGCAGCCCCUUCAUCCAGUCUCAGAACACUGCCCCCUCCUGGGUGUGAGGUGUUUAGGUGCCACUUGCUGUGUGGUCCUACCUGGCUCCUCUCUGAGGUCACGUCCUCAGAGGUCAGUGCAGGCCAAGGUCAGGGCCUGUGCCUGUGGGUCUGCUUCCUGGCCUCCCCUGUGCAUCAGAAACAAGUUUCACACUACGUGCAGGCCCAGAGAAAGUUGUUGUUCAAAUUUUUCUCUGUUUCUUAAUGCAGUUUUUUCCCCCUAUUUAUAAAAAUUACAUUUACUGUACAAAAUUUAGGUAAAAUGGAGAAAUGUAAAGAAGAAAAUAGAAUGACCCACAAACCUGCCCAGAGGACUGUGCCACACUUUUUUGGUAUAGUCUACUGAGCUCUUUUUCUUAGACAAACAACACACAUUUUAAGCACAGUUGGGAUACCCUCCAUCUGAUUUCAUGUUCUAAUUGUACAAUGUGCUCCUGAGGUUGUAUUUUGCAUAUUGACUUAUCCCUGAUGUAUCUUUAUGGUUAAAUACUCUGUGGAAAGAUAUUUAGUAACUACCUGACAGCCCAUCAUGUGGGUGAAGCACAACUCACUUACUUGUUUUCCUAACAUUGGCUGUGGUUUGUUUUAAUAUAUUUAAUCUGUGAUGAAGCUGAUACUCAACAUGGGUUGAAUUAAUUUUAGAAAAUGUUAUAUGUAAUGUAUUGAGUAUAGAAAUUGUGAAUAGUUUCUGUUUGUGAGAGCUACUGUUCUUAUGAUUUUUUUUAUUUUAAUAAUGUGUACAUAUCUUUUAUCUUGAUCUUAAAUAUUUUACAAUUGGCUUGGGCUCCUGAGAAAGGCUACACACUCUCUCACUUCUAGAAGUUGGGCACCUCAGAAGACAUAAGAGGAAUUCAGUCACUGUUCUUGCAACUUCAGUGGUAACUGUGCUUGUACAUAGUGGAACUGAUCCAUCUGUCAGAUGGAUGAGGAUUUGCUCCAGCCUUCUGUCUCCAUGAGUGUGUGACAAGCAGCCAGUGCCAUCAGGGAGCUCAGAGUGCCUCCUCUACCUGGUGCAGGUGGGGACAUUGUCCACUCUGCACAGCUACUCCCACCAGCAUGAGCUGGACCUUCCCAGCCUGUGGCCUGCAUGUUGAGUGGCACCCCAGGGGGCUGGUGAGGACCUGGGACCACACAGCAGCUCCUGGCCCUCUCCUGCUGGUGAUGGCUGACAGCCUGGUCACUGGUCCGGGAGGGCAGCUGGGUGAGUGGAUCCAAACUCCCCCCAGCAUGGAUCUCACAUAGCAUAGGGUUGAGGGGUACCUGCCAGACUGUUCCUUCCUACCAAGUGCAGCUCUUACUAGAGUGAGCAGAUCGGUUAUUGAGUCUUUAAUGCAUGCCUAAACCAUGCUGUGUACUUGACCCGCUGUCUGUCACUGGGUCUCUUCUGUGCACCCACUCACCGCAUAUGAUGGGUGAAGGUGCCAAGGCUGAAACAUAUGUGUUAACAGAUGUGGCCAUGGUUACUCUGCCCACAGAUGUGGAACCAGGAUCUGAGUCCAGGUUGUCACAAUCUAAGUCCUGCAUGCUAACCAGGUGGUUGACUUUUAAGUGCAAGCCAAUUUGUAGUUGGUUUAAAAAUUAAUAGUUAAACAGCAAAAAAAAAAAUGUGACAAUGAAUAUAUAUAUGUUCAUGUAUAACUGAAAAAUUGUGCUCUACACUGGAAUUUGACAAAACAUUGUAAAAUGCCUAUAACUCAAUAAAAAUGUUUAUAAAAUUAAUAGUUAAAACUUUUUCCUUUUUGUUAGAGGAACAAUAAAAUGACCCAUUGUUCGGACAGACAGCAGCAUUUUGGAAAUUAACUGCCUUCUGUGGUUUUCUCUUCACAUUCCUAAUGGAAAGGCCACUUUGCUUACAGAGCAUCUCAGGUGGAAGGUUAGGUAAUUGGAAGCUGCAUCAAACACAUCCCUAUUGCAGAUAGAGAUAUGUAUUUCAUUCAACAGCUGCCAAGGGAGAGGGAGGUGGGAGUCCCUCCUGAGCAACCACUGGAGACCACAAAGGCCAUUAAGGAGAAGUACUGUCACAUUUGCCCCAAUAUAGUCAAGAAGUUUGCCAAGUAUGACGUGGAUCAGCGGAAGUGGAUCAAACAGCAAACAGGGAACAAUGCCAUAAGCCAGAAGAAAUUCAUUAUCGAUGUUGGCUAGGAAAGUUUCCCAGGCCCUGAAAUUUUCUUUCACCCAGAGAUACUGAUUAACAUGCCAAGUAUAAUGCCUGGCCCAGGAAGCUCAGGAGAUGAAUCAAAUAACUUGACCAUGAAGGAGCACUGAGGAGGAGGCAGAGAUGAUCUCUGGCAUGGAGUUUUAAUGUGAGCUCUCCUCGGGCCUGGGAGAAAUUCUGAGAGUGACCCCUGAGAAUGAGCUCAGUGGUGAGAAGUCCAAGGACAGGAUGAGGUCGACAUUGCAAGUGUUUUUGGAAUAAGAAUCAACACACUUAAAGACUGGGAUUUGGAAGUGAGAAGGAGUACAUGGAAGUGAUUCAGGAAGACAAGGAAAUGAGACAGAAGUGGCAACAUUUGUCAAAGUUCUAUGCAUUUGUUCCUUUGGAUUCAAGUGAAACAUCUGGAGUCAAUUCUUAACCCAAUGUUGGUUUGUUCUCCCCAACCUCUUUGCCCUGCUAUUGGAAAAUAUAUUACAUUUCUGUAUGUUAUAUGCCCACAAAUACAAUUAAAUGUAUACUGCCUUAUGAUUUUUAAACAAGGAUACAGUAAGAACCUUGUCAUCUGUAAAGCUGUAAGAGGACCCUUACCAAGAAAAUAACAAUGCUGGCACAGUGCUUUUGGACUUACAGCCUCCAGGACUGGGAGAAAUAAAUGUUUGUUUUAGGGAAGAAAGAUAGAGGGCUGUCACCAGAAGCAAGGAACAGAGGAAGUAAAUUUCCAAAGGAUCUGGUAGAAGAAUUGGUCUAACUGUGUUCCUCAUGAGAAAAGUAUUCUGUUGGAGGACAUGUAAUAAAACAGCAGUCACAAGAUUUGAUUUAUUCACAGCUCUGAAAACUCUGGAAGACCAUGGGGAAGUUCCCUAACCUCCUUUGGGUAUUUCAUCUGAGCUGUUGGAAUUGCAUUACCUAAUCUCUCUGGUUCUUUGAAGCUGCCACAUUCAGUGAUUCUGUCUUCAAUGAUAGAUACAACAAGGAGCAACCUAAGCUGAAAGUGGCCUGAGAUGUGGAUCUGAAAAGAGAAAUUUUGGUUCCCAGCCAUAGGAGUGUGUUCACAGAAAAGAAGCCAGCUAAAGAAUGUCUUGGGUGUUCUGGACAGGCUUGGAAUCCACAGAAGUAUUUAUUUCAAGAGGAUAUCUAUACUGAUUUUUCAUUGAAGGUCAAAGGGAGUUCCAGAUAAACUGCCUGAGUUCUGGCAGUCAAAAAAGAAGGAAAUGUAGUCCUUUGAAACUCUGUCCCUCAUGAGAACAUGGACUACUUUAUCCUUGAGUGAGAGAUGAGCCAUGGGACCGGUAACAACACUUCUAGGCUUCAUUCUUCAAGGGGAGGCGACAUAAAGUAAAUACUAAGACAGAUUACCACAAGGUUCCUCUGGAACUCCUGCUUGUCUUCCUUGAAGGAGUGCUCCAUGAAGACUGCAGGGGCUUCCCUCUCACAGGCAGCAUGCACCUCCAGCAGCUCCUGCAGCAUGUCUGUGGGGAAGCUCACUCGCUGGGCUAUCUGCUCACUGUAGUGGUUGUCUGCCUUCUGAAUGGCAGCUGAGUUCUCCAGCUGGGCCAGAGUUGUCACCGCGUUCUCCAAGCGAGGUACUGCUCCACUAUUGAUAGUAUCCAGGAGGAAGGAACAUUAAUUGUGAUAAAGAUACCAAGCAAGGGCUCAACAUAGAGGCAAAGGGGAAUCCAUGAAUCAGACAAAAUGGAAGUCACUGAUAACCAUAACAAGAGUAUCUUGAAAGAACGGUGAGGUUCAAAGCCAGAGAGAAAUGGACUGAAGACAGACAUGGGAAGAGAAAAAGGUGGGAAAAAAAAAUCAAGAUUAUAUUUUUUGUCAGACAAAUAUUUCAAAAGUGGGGAGAGGUGUUAGCCACAGUAAUAUAUGACAUACAGGAAAUAUUUUUAAGAUUAUAGACAUUUUAACACAUUUAUUUGUUGAAGAGUAUAGUCCAUAAAAAAGCAAAAUGUGUUUCAAGAGCGAGUAGACACAAUUGCAAGAGUCCAGAGCUUAAGCAUGUAAAAUAAGGUAGGAUUGUGAGAAUUGGUAGGAGAAAUUUUGCUUUACAGGAAUAAAACAUACAAUAUGAUAAUGAAUUACAGUAAGACAGUGGUUUAGCAGUGAGAAAAAGGAGUGGAAAGUUGAUUUGUUAAGAGAAGUUUGGUUCUCCCUACACAAGAUCAGGACAAAAAUUAAGAAGCUGAGGUAUUAGCUAGAAUCAAGCAAUUGGUCCUUGACCCAGUACAACACUCACCAUGAUUCUGACCUGCAAGAUGAUUCAUCAAGUAGGAUUUGCCUGUAUGAUACGGCCCUACAAUGGCCACCACCAGCACUGGCAAAGAAAUCUCACCAAGAAUCUGCAGAGAUUUUUGGUUCACUGAA